AGGAAGCAGCAGCCUCCGCUCCGCGGCGGGUGUGCUCGGCAGUCACAGACCCACUCAGGACACCUCCCGUUGCCGACGGGCUAGACCUGCAUCCGAAGGGCCUAAGCGGGGAGGAACCGCUUUCCACCACUCUCCAGGGACCUGGGGAGGGAAUGUUUAGGCCGUAGGGGUGGAGGACACAGGAAACGUAACAUUUUUCCUUAACUGCGCCUCUCUUCUUAGGCCUUAAAGGGGUCCCCGUGUCUCUCCAGUCUAGAGCCUAAGUUCAAACGAGGCGUAUAGGCGAGGACAGCAGGAAGGCUCCAAGUCAAACAAACGGAUGGUACGAAUUUCGCCUGGUCUAGCCCUGCCCCAACGGUGUGGGUGUGGGUUGGGUGCUGCAGCCCCCGAGCAAGGGGCUGUCACAGCCACAACCAGAGGAGCUAUGGAGCUGCUACGGAGGAGGGAUUCCAGAGUCAGCUUGGGCUUGUCCCAAGGGAGCCCUUGGGACAGUGUCUGGGGCUGCGCGGCCUGGUUCUCAUCCCUUGCAGCAUCUGCUAUUUUAGCCAGGGGCCACCUUCCUCCAAUGGCCUGGGAGUAGCUAGAGGUUAGAGGUUACACCCACCAGAAGGGAUGUAAGCCCAGGAAGUAGUCAGAAAGGAAAGGUCAUUCUAGAGAUGGGGCCACCUGAAAAACCUUCAGGAGGAAGGAGAAAGGAAAUGGGAUAAGUGUCAUGUCAUACUAAAUAUUUAUUUUCUGCAGACUGACUUCGGAGUAAUUCUUGAGCCAGGAGGGGAGAGGUUAGUGUUCAAAUUGCUGAGAUCUUAGGUCAAAAAGCUACAGAAAAGAAAUCACUUUGAAAAACACAAUGACUCAGAGGCAGUCACCCCUUGCCAGCAAUUCCAAGAGCUGAGGAGGCUUCAUGCCUCAGGACAUGGUGACUAGUUGAGUGAACCAGAGAUUGAGGCAGUGGUUUUUACAGGGGAAGAAACAAGCCUUGGGUGUAUGGGAGCAGGAAAGGAGGGUGACAGACUGGAGAAAUGAUAAAGGCCAUUUUGGAAGCCCACAGGGAAGUGGUCUUGGGAAACCUGAAGACACUGGGAUAUUCAGAAGGCCAAGGGGAUCCAGCUUAUCCUGUUGGGCAAGGUGCUGGGAGUGAAGGCAGGAACUACCAAAGCCACGGAUCAGCUGAGUUACCCGG
rnacentral:lncRNA from 1 species